rnacentral:rRNA from 1 species
AACGAACGCUAGCGGCGUGCCUAACACAUGCAAGUCGUACGAGAAAUCCCGGGCAACUGGGAGAGUAAAGUGGCGCACGGGUGAGUAACGCGUGGGUAAUCUACCUUGGAGUUGGGAAUAACACCUCGAAAGGGGUGCUAAUACCAAAUGUUGUCCCUGGAGUUUCGGCCCUGGGGAUGAAAGAUGGCUGAGGCUUGCAAGCUAUUGCUCCAAGAUGAGCCCGCGUACCAUUAGCUUGUUGGUGGGGUAAUGGCCCACCAAGGCUAUGAUGGUUAGCUGGUCUGAGAGGAUGGCCAGCCACACUGGAACUGAGAUACGGUCCAGACUCCUACGGGAGGCAG